AUUGAACGCUGGCGGCAUGCCUUACACAUGCAAGUCGAACGGCAGCACGGGAGCAAUCCUGGUGGCGAGUGGCGAACGGGUGAGUAAUAUAUCGGAACGUGCCCGGUCGUGGGGGAUAACGUAGCGAAAGCUACGCUAAUACCGCAUACGAUCUACGGAUGAAAGCGGGGGAUCGCAAGACCUCGUGCGAUUGGAGCGGCCGAUAUCAGAUUAGGUAGUUGGUGAGGUAAAGGCUCACCAAGCCGACGAUCUGUAGCUGGUCUGAGAGGACGACCAGCCACACUGGGACUGAGACACGGCCCAGACUCCUACGGGAGGCAGCAGUGGGGAAUUUGGACAAUGGGCGCAAGCCUGAUCCAGCAAUGCCGCGUGCAGGAUGAAGGCCUCGGUU
rnacentral:rRNA from 1 species